CCCCUUUUAAUUGCGCGCAAAGCGCAUUACAUCUGAUCUGUCCCUCGGGACUAUGGUCAUAAACGCGCUCGUAAUAAACGGAUCGGACCCGGGGGCGGUACCCGGCAGCUCCACCAAACCUCCCUCAUUUGGGGACAGAUGGGGCUGAAAUAGGAUCGACGGACGUCUAAAGGGGUUAGCUUUGGCUCGGUGAGAUACCAC
rnacentral:tmRNA from 1 species